rnacentral:rRNA from 1 species
UACGUAGGGUGCAAGCGUUAAUCGGAAUACUGGGCGUAAAGCGUGCGCAGGCGGUGAUGUAAGACAGAUGUGAAAUCCCCGGGCUCAACCUGGGAACUGCAUUUGUGACUGCAUCGCUGGAGUGCGGCAGAGGGGGAUGGAAUUCCGCGUGUAGCAGUGAAAUGCGUAGAUAUGCGGAGGAACACCGAUGGCGAAGGCAAUCCCCUGGGCCUGCACUGACGCUCAUGCACGAAAGCGUGGGGAGCGAAACAAGG